GCUUCGGUAGCUCAGCGGUAGAGCGUGGGAUUGCAGUACGGCUACUUACGCCUAGAGGCAAUUCAUCCUAAGGUCAGGCGUUCGAUCCGCCUUCGAAGCU